UACGUAGGGCGCACGCGUUAUCCGGAAUUAUUGGGCGUAAAGAGCUUGUAGGCGGUUUGUCGCGUCUGCUGUGAAAGACCGGGGCUCAACUCCGGUUCUGCAGUGGGUACGGGCAGACUAGAGUGCAGUAGGGGAGACUGGAAUUCCUGGUGUAGCGGUGAAAUGCGCAGAUAUCAGGAGGAACACCGAUGGCGAAGGCAGGUCUCUGGGCUGUAACUGACGCUGAGGAGCGAAAGCAUGGGGAGCGAACAGG
rnacentral:rRNA from 1 species